ACAUAUCACGAAUAUUUGAGGCCCAGUUUACAUAACCAUUGAUAGCAUCGUCAUACAAGAGUUUAUACACAUCGUAUACAACUUUUGGUUUAUUUGUAAUAAUAUGUAACCAAUAUUUCAAUAUAUUUUGUUUUCUAACAAUAAAAAGAGGUAAAUGGCCAAGUUCGCCAUAUAAAAAGCAUGUUGGUACAUUUCGACCCAAUUUUAACACAAAUCUACAAAAACGAUUAUGGAUAAGUUCGAUAUCUUUAGCACGAUGGAAACCCCAUAUUUCUGAUGCAUAGCCUAAAAUGGAUCCGACCAUACUGUCGAAAAGAAACAUCUGUUCUUCUGGAGUGAUGAAGAAUUGUUUGAGAGAGUUCAUUAAAGAUGACAUGGCUCUAGAUCCUUGUUGUGCUAAACGUUUCUGAGUAUGUAAAAACUUUCCGUUGUAAUGUAAUAAUACACCAAGGUACACAUAUGAAUUAACAACUUGCAGUUCCUUGUUAUCAUAGUAAAAAUUAGUGUCUACUGGUCUAAAUCCAUUUCUAAAUACCACUACUUUGGUUUUAUCAGCGUUUACUUCGAUAUUCCAUUUAUUGCAGUAAAGUAAAAGUUUAUCAAAUAAGUGUUGCAGAACAGUCGGUGUUUUUCCAAAUAAAACGGUGUCGUCAGCAAAAAGUAUUAGAUAUAUAAGGAUUCCAUUCAAAGAUAUGACAUCUUCGUUUACAUCAGUGGAGAUAUCUUGAAUAAUGUCAUUUAUAAAAAA
rnacentral:lncRNA from 1 species